rnacentral:rRNA from 1 species
CCACGNGUGUUGUGCAACCGCUUGUGCCAUGUGGUGCCGCAGGGAAGCUGUGAAGCUCGCCGCCUGGGAAGUACGGUCGCAAGGUUGAAACUUAAAGGAAUUGGCGGGGGAGCACCACAACGGGUGGAGCCUGCGGUUUAAUUGGACUCAACGCCGGAAAGCUCACCGGAAACGACAGCGGAAUGAGGGCCAGGCUGAUGACCUUGCCAGACUAGCUGAGAGGAGAUAGCAUGAACAAAGGCAAAA